rnacentral:rRNA from 1 species
UACGUAGGGUGCAGGCGUUAAUCGGAAUUACUGGGCGUAAAGCGUGCGCAGGCGGCUCCUUAAGUCAGAUGUGAAAGCCCCGGGCUUAACCUGGGAACUGCGUUUGAAACUGGGGAGCUAGAGUGUAGAAGAGGGGGGGGUGGAAUUCCAGGUGUAGCAGUGAAAUGCGUAGAGAUCUGGAGGAACACCGAUGGCGAAGGCAGCCCCCUGG